GACGGAGCUAGGGGAGGAAGGAGUGGGCGGCGGCCGCUUCGGCGCAACUUCACAUGCCCGGUAAGGCAUCGAUCAUUGCCAAAAUGCCAGGAUACAGAAGGUAUGAUUGUUCUGAUAUCGUUAGCUACAUGGGUGGUGUGAACUGUGGCAAAACGACAAUGACAAGAAUCUGAAUGCACUUAAGAAGCAUAAUCUUGUAAGGUCCAGGCCACUGGUGAGGACUUUUCUGUUGAGCCAUCUGAUGAGAGGAGGCCGUUCAACUACACAUUUUUACAGUAUGUAAGACGGCAGGUGCAUGUGUUUGAUCUAAGGUAAUGUAUAGCUGUGACUGGAGCAAAUAUCUUACUAUGCUUACCACAUUACCGAUGAACAGAAAAAUCAGAAGCGGUAUGGUGAAACAAUAAAAAUGCCUUCUAAUGAUGUUGGAACUUGUUCAUUUGGCGUUUGUGAAUAGUGAUAUAGUCAACCUUUAUAUACAAUAACUGUGGUACUAAUCAUACUGAUAACAUCAGCCCUUAUUAUCAACUUGAAACUUAUCGGAAGCCAGCUGAUGAUCACAAGGAUUUUGUAACCUAUAACAUUGCUUAGAACUAGUAGCAUAGAAAUAACAAGUCAAAACAACUGGAAAAUUGAAGAGAAUUCUAAUAAGAUCAUUCAUCACCGUUUGAGCAACUUCAAACUUAUCGGAAGCUUAAAAAUAAUAGGUGAUGGUCACGAGAAUUUUGUAAGCUAUAACAGUUGCUUAGAAGUAGUA